AUGUGGCAUUGUCUCAUCUAUGCUGUCUCUAGGGAACGGAGCCUGCAACAGCCUUGUCAGCCGUAUUUACGUUUUCUCUUGGAAGAGCUGUUUGUUGUGCUUCAGCCGAGAACCCAGGAACAAAUUGAAUGUGGGUGCAGCGUGGCCAGCUGGGAAUGCAGCACCCAGGAAGAAAAAUGGAAUGAAGUUAUCAGAUCAGCUUUAGAUUUUAUAAAGACACAACACUCAUUACGUGACAGGAAAUCACUUUUCUCUAGCACAUAUUCCAGAGAAAUGCAUCGUCAUCACCGGCCAGUAGGAAGAUAAUGUUUUAAUGAUGAAGAAAUGAACCUUUGGCAUUGCAGGCUUUCGGCUGCUUUGUCUACUGAGGUUUCCUCAUUUGGACUAGGACACGUUUUCAAGAUUGCAUCUCCAAAUAUAUGUUUGGAAAUGUGCAAGCACAUGCAAAUAAUUAUUAUCACAUUAAUACGGAAUGCAGAUAGGGUUAUUGGGCAGCUAGCUAAUUUUGCAUGUCAGUUCACAGUUGUGCAUGUGAUUUUAUUUCACAUCUGUACUGUUACGGAGCUGGUUAACUUUAGAUGUUGGUACUCCUCCCAUGUUCUGUAAGAUUAAUCCCAGCCUAUUUCACCACUGUCUGAUUGAACUUAUGUUCUCCGCCUCCUGGUCUCCAUCCCUCCUUGCAGCUCUGUAAGUUGGCUCCACGGCUUCUUCCACUAGUGUGAUGUUAGUGCUUUCCCAUCUGCAGGAAUUGUGUCCUUUUCUUCUUCUUUCUAUUGCAUAUUCUAACUGUCGUCUCAAAAGCUGUCCUGAAAUCAUACAGCGAAGGCAUAGAUACCAUGUCGGGCUUUGUCCCUGCCUUGCUAUGUGAUUUUGAACCGUUUCAUCCUUUGUUUCUCAAUCCAUUGUUUGGAAAGUAAAGAGGAGAUGGGGGGAGGGGCUGUUUAUUGUGCUGCUUGGGACUUGUGAUACUUAGGUAGUAAAAAUAAGGAUAAUUGAACUUUAGGACACUGCAUAUAUUUUUAUCUUGCAAUUACAGCAAUGAGAGUGAAUGAAGACACCGUUUCAUUAUGUGGUUACUCAGAUCUAACCACGGACUUCUGUCAAAAAAUCACUCAUCUAACUGAAAUAAAUGCUUGAUUAUCUAGAUUUUUUUGGUUUUG
ensembl:lncRNA